CUGCAACUCGCCUGCAUGAAGUCGGAAUUGCUAGUAAUCGCAGAUCAGCAUGCUGCGGUGAAUACGUUCCCGGGCCUUGUACACACCGCCCGUCACACCAUGGGAGCCGGUAAUACCCGAAGUCAGUAGUCCAACCUCGUGAGGACGCUGCCGAAGGUAGGAUUGGCGACUGGGGUGAAGUCGUAACAAGGUACC
rnacentral:rRNA from 1 species